CUUAUUAAGAGUGGUGGAGUGAAUAGGCACUAUGAAACCCGGCAACCUGAAUAGGUGCUAAGUCCUACAGAGAGCUUCUCUGAAAGAUGAGG
rnacentral:ncRNA from 1 species